UAGCUGUAAACGAUACUCGCUAGGUGUCGGCCACGGUGCGACCGUUGUCGGUGCCGUAGGGAAGCCGUGAAGCGAGCCACCUGGGAAGUACGGCCGCAAGGCUGAAACUUAAAGGAAUUGGCGGGGGAGCACAACAACGGGUGGAGCUUGCGGUUUAAUUGGAUUCAACGCCGGAAAUCUUACCGGGACCGACAGCAACAUGAAGGCCAAGCUGAAGACUUUGCCGGAUUAGCUGAGAGGAGGUGCAUGGCGUAGUCGUGU
rnacentral:rRNA from 1 species